AUUGCUGAAUCCAGUUAAGACCUCUGUAUAAACUUUUAAGAUUCUGGUGGACAGGGUUUGAGAUCUACUCUUCUUGUGACGGCACGAGAUAAGCCUUCUCUUUUUGUGAACUCUGCAACUUGAGUCAAUUGUAUGAAAAACAGCAACUUCUUGGAUAUAGAAAAUCCUGUAACUCCAGGUCCACAGGGCAAGAGAUGAGGAAGGGGAUUUCUGGGAAGAUGGGUGUGUGAGUCAUAAGAACUGAUGUUUGAAGCUGGGGUCAUGCUAGCUGUCUCUACUCUGGAUCCCAAGUGACAGAGAGAGACAGCCAGCGAGAGAGGGAACACAGCAG